rnacentral:rRNA from 1 species
GUGGGGAAUAUUGGACAAUGGGGGGAACCCUGAUCCAGCCAUGCCGCGUGUGUGAAGAAGGCCUUUUGGUUGUAAAGCACUUUAAGCGAGGAGGAGGCUACUGAGAUUAAUACUCUUGGAUAGUGGACGUUACUCGCAGAAUAAGCACCGGCUAACUCUGUGCCAGCAGCCGCGGUAAUACAGAGGGUGCAAGCGUUAAUCGGAUUUACUGGGCGUAAAGCGCGCGUAGGUGGCCAAUUAAGUCAAAUGUGAAAUCCCCGAGCUUAACUUGGGAAUUGCAUUCGAUACUGGUUGGCUAGAGUAUGGGAGAGGAUGGUAGAAUUCCAGGUGUAGCGGUGAAAUGCGUAGAGAUCUGGAGGAAUACCGAUGGCGAAGGCAGCCAUCUGGCCUAAUACUGACACUGAGGUGCGAAAGCAUGGGGAGCAAACAGGAUUAGAAACCCUGGUAGUCC